GGGGGCAUAGCUCAGUUGGGAGAGCAACAGACUGAAGUUUUCCAUAUGUAUCUGGUUCAUUUCUGGAGGUCCCCAGUUCAAUCCUGGGUGCCCCCA